GGGUUUUACCUAACGUUUUUCACAAUUGUCAGUCACGAGUCAGUAAUGUACAGAUAUUAGAAUCUAUCUAACUACUUGGUUAAACAUGUGAACUACAUGUUGCACAGGUGUAUGGCAAACCAGUUUCCAACACCUGCGCCGAACGGAACGUUGUGCAACAGGUAAUUCAUAUGUUUAACCAAGUAGUUAGAUGGUUUGUCAUUAAAUGUAUUAGAUAGACAUGCUUCUAAUAUCCGUAUAUUAUUUUGAACUACCAAAUUAAUAAUUUUCUUGCUAAAAACACCAGGUUAUUGAUGAUUUAAGAUGAUAUUUUCCAAAUUGUCUCAAAGAGAAAUCUUGGCUACCUCCUCCGCUAGCAAUGCUCAGGCAUCAUCCAAUGUCGUUAUACAGGAGGCUCAUCAAUGCAAGGCUGAUGCCAUAGAGAAAAUGGUCGGUGACAACUCAAUGAAAUAGAGGGCUUAAAAAAAACGGUUGACUUUGCAUGCAUGGAAAUCAAGGAUGUUAAGAAUGUCGUCCACAUCGAAAAGCGUUUCAAAAAGAAGGGAAAGAUGGACUUGUGCUAAAGAAGAAUCGCGGAACUCGAAAGCGACUCCAGACUUAGUUCCCGAGGCAGAUGGGAAGAAUGUGCGGCAAGAGACCAUCAAAGUCUGCCAAGCUAUCCUAUCCAAGGAGAAGGCUGAGCUAGCAGAUGUUGUCGACACUAGAUUGCCUCAACACGAGAAGGUAGGGUGACUCCAAGCCCAGAGGUGUCAUUCUCCAGUUCACAUCAUGGAUCUACAGGGAUGCCACUUGGAAAGCAGCCAAGAAAUCGACCUUCCUACGCGACAACAACCUGCGGUUUGCUGAAUACCUCUUGAAGGCAGACAGAGAAAGGAGAGAGAAACUGUGGCUAGCUGUGGAAAAAUCACGAAAAGAGGGGAAAGCGGCUUACUUUCCAAAAUCAACCUUCCUCCAUGAGGACUGUCACAGACUGUGCCUGGUGAUCAACAUAGGCUACCUAGAUAGCUAGCUAGCUCUGUGAUCAGAUCCCACUCCUGGCUCUAAGGUUUUUAAACUUUCAUUCUACCUGCACAGGACUGCUGGAGUAAUGGAUAUUUACUAUUUGAUUUGUUCUCUCACUUCUGAUAUUUUUACCUGCAGUAUAGGCAGUGAGCAAGCUCUUUUUUGUUUCUUGUUCUGGCAGUUAUCUUUGUUAUGCUAAACUAUUCUCACUCAAUAAUUUAUAUCUAUAUGGUGUGCAAUGCUGGUUUCUUUUCAUUUUUACUCGAUUUGCGAUUGUUGUUUAGCUCGUAGUACUUUCUGUUCUGUAUUCCACUUUAUCGUUGUCUAUCGUUUCACUCAAUAAAGCUAGGGAGUUAAGAAAUAA